UGUGCCUUAGCUCAGUGGAAGAGUGACCGCGACCUGCGAAGGGGGGGUGACCGAGGGUUCGAUUCCCCGAGGCAGAG
rnacentral:tRNA from 1 species